GUUUUCUACAUAUAAUCAAUGAUUUGAAGAUGAGGCCAGGCAUUGAAGUUGAAACCCCAAUCUAUGUACAUGAGACAAAAAAUCUUCAUAUGGUUGUUCACUGACUUUACUUAGGAGCCCAUUUGGAUCCAGUUUCUUUGACAAAAAGUAGCAAAAUACAAAUGGGUACACAGAGCAAGGCCUCUCCAGACUCCAUGGUUAUUGAUAUGGGAGAUUCUGUUAUCAAUUCAAACUUCAAUGAAGAAAACUGGAUAAGCAAGAUCAAGGGCAUACUCAACGAGGAGCAACUUGGGCAUGAGAUUGACAAUCCUACAAAUUGUAUUUUCCAAGUGCCCAAAUCUGUAAGUUCCAUCAAACCAGAAGCUUUUAUUCCUCAGAGAAUUGCUUUAGGACCUUAUCAUCAUUUCAGGCCUAAGUUUUAUAAGAUGCAGAAGUGCAAGCUUCAUGAGGUUCAGAUUGUUCAUCAGCGACUAAAACUUCCUGAAUUUCAGCUUCUCUUUGAUCAACUUAAGAGAAAAGUUAAAGAUGUUCGAGGGUAUUACCAUGAGCACUUGGAUAUCCAUGAUGAUACCUUGUCAUGGAUAAUGGUAAUUGAUGGUCUGUUCUUGCUGCAAUUGAUCUGCCAUGAACAGCCUUUGGAGUUUGUUGACUCAUCAGGAAGAAAGUUUCCCAUGGAAGCCAUCCUCAGAGAUGUGGUGUUGCUUGAGAACCAGAUCCCAUUCUUUGUGUUAGAGCAUCUUCUUGCCAGGUCCAAUCCUGCAACCAAAAUCCAACCUUUGCUUUCUAUGACCAUCAAGUUUUGUCCAAGAAUUUCUCCAGUAGCAUUGCAGGGGUAUUUCCCCAAAAAGAGUUUUGAGUGCCCUUUGCAUUUGUUGGAUCUACUUUACAACUUAGUUUGGUUUGGAGGGUUCCCAGUACGCAGGGAUAUUGCAGUAGCAGUAGGACGACAGGGAAGUUUCAAUGUUUGGAGUGCUCUCUGGGAUAUGAUUUCCUAUCUAAAUGUUGGCUUCUUAGUCAUCCCUAAAAAAAUCAUAGAUUUAAUUCUAAAAAUCUUACAAGUUUUGGGAAUUUCCAUCUCUUUACAAUUUACAGAGGAGAAGGCUUUGACUCCCACAGCAUCACAGUUGUCCAGUGUCAAGGUUAAGUUCUGUCACACUGGUCUUGGCAUCAGUUUCAUCUGUUUUACCAAGGAGGACACCGCUCUUCACCUUCCAGUCCUUACUUUAAACGUUAAUACAGAGGUCAUAAUCAGAAAUUUACUGGCAUAUGAAGCUGUGAUCAAGCCUGAGACUCCGAAUUUCGCACGUUACAUUGAACUGAUGGCAGCAAUGAUUCAUACUACUGAGGAUGUAGAGCUGCUCAAAAAUAACAAAAUUGUGAUGCACAAAGGAGACAAUGGUGAGGUUGUGAAGCUCUUUAAUGGGUUGAGAAAUUCUCUAGUUUCUGAAGGUGAGUCAGAAUUAGAUCAUUGUAUCAAAGAAGUUAAUGAGUAUUACAAUAGUAGCUGGAAGAUAAAGUUCAAAAACCUUAUAAAGAAGAAUGUUUAUUCCUCGUGGAAGAUGCUCACAAUUAUUGCCACCAUCUUGCUCUUGCUGCUGAUGGCUCUACAGACUUUCUGCUCAAUCUACAGUUGCCCUGGAAUAUUUAAGACAAGCAAGAAACACUUGAGCUUGACUUCAAGCUUCUAGCUUUGCAUGUCUUUCAACAGGUCAUCAUAAUUUUCCAGACUAGAUGUUGCCUGGGAUUUGUUCUGUUCUUUCUAGCACUGCAUGUAUUCAAGUGGGUUUGAAGUAACAAUUGCAGAAGACAUGCCCGUCUGCUCAUGUAAAUGCUCAUCGUUUCUUUUCUUUU
rnacentral:misc_RNA from 1 species